CAGUAGCCGCGGUAACACGUAGGGUGCAAGCGUUAAUCGGAAUUACUGGGCGUAAAGCGUGCGCAGGCGGUUUGUUAAGACAGAUGUGAAAUCCCCGGGCUCAACCUGGGAACUGCAUUUGUGACUGGCAAGCUAGAGUGUGGCAGAGGGGGGUGGAAUUCCGCGUGUAGCAGUGAAAUGCGUAGAUAUGCGGAGGAACACCGAUGGCGAAGGCAGCCCCCUGGGCCAACACUGACGCUCAUGCACGAAAGCGUGGGGAGCAAACAGGAUUAGAUACCCGCGUAGUCCCUGUCUCUUAUAC
rnacentral:rRNA from 1 species